CUGGUUGAUCCUGCCAGAUGCCAUUGCUAUCAGGGUUCUGACUAAGCCAUCGCUAGUCUAGAGGUGUAAGACCUCGGUAUACUGCUCAGGAACACGUGGUUAACCUGCCCUAAGGUGGAGCAUACUCCCGGGAAACUGGGGCUAAUCCUCCAUAGUGGAUGUAUCCUGGAAUGGUAUAUCCUCGAAAGAUCCGUCGCCUUAGGAUGGGACUGCGUCCGAUUAGGUUGUUGGCGGGGUAACGGCCCACCAAGCCAUUGAUCGGUACGGGUUGUGGGAGCACGAUCCCGGAGAUGGAUUCUGAGACAUGAAUCCAGGCCCUACGGGGCGCAGCAUGCGCGCAAACUUUACAAUGCGAGCAAUCGUGAUAAGGAAACCCUGAGUGCCUGUCUAUGCACGCUGUUCAUAUAUCUAAAUCAUAUGUGAAGAAAGGGCAGGGCCAAGACCGGUGCCAGCCGGCGCGGUAAUACCGGCUGCCUCGAGUGAUGUCCGCUAUUGAUGGGUGUACAGCGUCCGUAGCCAGACUGUUAGGUCUCCUGGGAAAUGUUCGCUCUCAUCGUGAAGGCGUCUAAGAGAUACCGCCAGUCUGGGAACUGGGAGAGGUAACCGGUUCUUUGGGGGUAGUAGUGAAAUCUCGUAAUCCUCGAGGCAAGACCUAUGGGGAAGGCAGUUUACCAGACCACCUUAUACAGUGACGGUACGAAAGUUGGGGGAGCAAAUCGGGAUUAGAUACCCCGGUACUACCCAGCAGUAAACAAUGAGCAUUAGGUGCGUCGGUAACCAAGUGAUUAUCCACGCGCAGAAGAGAAAUCGUGAAACGCACCACCUGGGAAGUACGGUCGCAAGCCUUAAACUUAAAGGAAUUGGACGGGGGAGCACCACAACAGGUGGAGCCUGCGGUUUAAUUGAAUUCAACGCCGGG
rnacentral:rRNA from 1 species